GUCACGAUGGCCGAGCGGUCUAAGGCGCCAGACUCAAGUUUCAAAACUUGCUCCGCUAAUGCGCAGCCAAAGGGCGUUCUGGUCCACUAAUGUGGGCGUGGGAUCGAAUCCCACUCCUGACA
rnacentral:tRNA from 1 species